rnacentral:rRNA from 1 species
UCCUACGGGACGCAGCAGUGAGGAAUAUUGGUCAAUGGGCGCGAGCCUGAACCAGCCAAGUCGCGUGAGGGAAGACGGUCCUAUGGAUUGUAAACCUCUUUUGCCGGGGAGCAAGCUGAGUCACGUGUGGCUCAGCUGAGAGUACCCGGAGAAAAAGCAUCGGCUAACUCCGUGCCAGCAGCCGCGGUAAUACGGAGGAUGCGAGCGUUAUCCGGAUUUAUUGGGUUUAAAGGGUGCGUAGGCGGUCCGUUAAGUCAGCGGUAAAAUUGCGGGGCUCAACCCCGUCGAGCCGUUGAAACUGGCAG